GAUUAACGCUAGCGGCAGGCCUAAUACAUGCAAGUCGAACGGCAGCACGGGUAGCAAUACCUGGUGGCGAGUGGCGCACGGGUGCGUAACGCGUAUGCAACCUACCUAUAACUGGGGAAUAGCCUUCUGAAAGGAAGAUUAACACCGCAUAAUAUCACGAGACGGCAUCGCCUUGUGAUCAAAUCUCCGGAGGUUAUAGAUGGGCAUGCGUGACAUUAGCUAGUUGGUGAGGUAACGGCCCACCAAGGCUACGAUGUCUAGGGGGUCUGAGAGGAUGAUCCCCCACACUGGUACUGAGACACGGACCAGACUCCAACGGGAGGCAGCAGUAAGGAAUAUUGGACAAUGGGCGCAAGCCUGAUCCAGCCAUGCCGCGUGAAGGAUGACGGCCCUCUGGGUUGUAAACUUCUUUUAUACGGGAAUAAACCCCUCGAUUCUUCGAGGGCUGAAUGUACUGUAAGAAUAAGGAUCGGCUAACUUCGUGCCAGCAGCCGCUGUAA
rnacentral:rRNA from 1 species